AUGGCCAAGCGCUUGGGCCCUGCACCGCGUGGGAGACCGGAAGAGGCUCUGGCCAGACCUGGCUGUUGCGGCCACCUGGGGGUGAACCAGGGACGCCAGCUAAGUGCCCUGCCGGUUCCCGCACCUGCCCUGCAGGCACCGCCCAGCUCUGGGCUGUCCACGCUGGAGGGAGAGGUGCUCGCCCCGGCCUGGCUUCCGUCCUGGUGUGGAGCCCGGCUGGGUGGGCCGGGCCGGGCGUGCGGGGGACACCAGCCUCUGUCACUUAAGGCAAAUGGGGUCGGGUUUGUCCACCGCAACGACGCGGGUCAUGGCACACGCUCAGCUGCUCUACCGGAACCCAGAGGGGCGGUGCCCCCAGCGGGAGGGCCAGAGCCGGCCCCCGCCCGCCGCUGCUCCCCGUCCCCAGCCUCACGGCUUGUGGUUGGGACCACGUCCACACUCCCGGGAGCAGGAGGGCAGCGGAGAAGGGACCCGGAGUCACCCGGCUGUGUGUGCAGGGGCGCGGGUCCUCCGCACAGCUAUGUGUGCAGGGGUGCGGGUCCUCCACCCGGCUGUGUGUGCAGGGGUGCGGGGUCCUCCACCCAGCUGUGUGUGUGCAGUGGUGCGGGUCCUCCGCCCUGCUGUGUGCAGGGGUGUGGGUUCCUCUGCACGGCUGUGUGUGCAGGGGUGUGGGUCUUCCGCCCGGCUGUGUGUGCAGGGGUGCGGGUCCUCCACCCGGCUGUGUGUGUAGGGGUGUGGGUCCUCCAUCCGGCUGUGUGUGCAGGGGUGCAGGGUCCUCCACAUGGGUGUGUGUGCAGGGGUGCGGGUCCUCCGCACAGCUGUGUGUGCAGGGGGCGGGGUCCUCUGCCCGGCUGUGUGUGCAGGGGUGCGGGUCCUCCACCCGGCUAUGUGUGCAGGGGUGCAGGUCCUCUGCCCGGCUGUGUGUGUGCAGGGGUGCGGGUCCUCUGCACGGCUGUGUGUGUGCAGGGGUGUGGGUCCUCCACACUGGUGUUUGUGUGCAAGGGUGCAGGUCCUCCACACUGGUGUGUGUGUGUGCAGGGGUGCAGGUUCCUCCACACAGCUGUGUGUGCAGGGGUGCGGGGUCCUCCACACAGGUGUGUGUGUGCAGGGAUGAGGGUUCCUCCACCCAGCUGUGUGUGUGCAGGGGUGCGGGUCCUCCACCCAGCUGUGUGUGUGCAGGGGUGCGGGUCCUCCACACUGGUGUGUGUGUGUACAGGGGUGCGGGUUCCUCCGCACAGCUGUGUGUGUGCAGGGGUGCGGGGUCCUCCACACGGGUAUGUGUGCAGGGGUGCAGGUCCUCCGCCUGGCUGUGUGUGUGCAGGGGUGCGGGUCCUCCGCACGGCUGUGUGUGUGUGCAGGGGUGCGGGGUCCUCCACACUGGUGUGUGUGUGCAGGGGUACGGGGUCCUCCGCCCGGCUGUGUGUGUGCAGGGGCGCGGGUCCUCCGCACAGCUAUGUGUGCAGGGGUGUGGGGUCCUCCACACGGGUGUGUGUGUGCAGGGGUGUGGGGUCCUCGGCCACGGGCCUGUGGAGACUUUGUUCGUGGCCUCUCUCUCUUUCUGCAACUGUGCCUUUCAAAUAA
ensembl:lncRNA